AACGCUGGCGGCAUGCCUUACACAUGCAAGUCGAACGGCAGCACGGGUGCUUGCACCUGGUGGCGAGUGGCGAACGGGUGAGUAAUGCAUCGGAACGUGCCCAGAGGUGGGGGAUAACGCAGCGAAAGCUGUGCUAAUACCGCAUAUUAUCUGAGGAUGAAAGCGGGGGACUAAGCAGCAAUGUUUGGCCUCGCGCCUUUGGAGCGGCCGAUGUCAGAUUAGGUAGUUGGUGGGGUAAAGGCCUACCAAGCCGACGAUCUGUAGCUGGUCUGAGAGGACGACCAGCCACACUGGGACUGAGACACGGCCCAGACUCCUACGGGAGGCAGCAGCGGGGAAUUUUGGACAAUGGGCGCAAGCCUGAUCCAGCAAUGCCGCGUGCAGGAAGAAGGCCUUCGGGUUGUAAACUGCUUUUGUACGGAACGAAAAGGCUCUGGUUAAUACCUGGGGCUCAUGACGGUACCGUAAGAAUAAGCACCGGCUAACUACGUG
rnacentral:rRNA from 1 species